rnacentral:lncRNA from 1 species
GACAACAACCUGCUGGGCAAGUUCGAGCUCUCCGGCAUCCCCCCGGCGCCCCGUGGCGUGCCCCAGAUCACCGUCACCUUCGACAUCGACGCCAACGGCAUCCUCAACGUGUCCGCGGAGGACAAGACCACGGGGCAGAAGAACAAGAUCACCAUCACCAACGACAAGGGGCGGCUGAGCAAGGAGGAGAUCGAGCGGAUGGUGCAGGAGGCCGAGAAGUACAAGUCGGAGGACGAGCAGGUGAGGCAGAAGGUGGAGGCCCGCAACGCGCUGGAGAACUACGCCUACAACAUGCGCAACACGGUCAAGGACGACAAGAUCGCGUCCAAGCUGCCCGCCGAGGACAAGAAGAAGAUCGAGGACUCCAUCGAGGACGCCAUCAGGUGGCUCGACGGGAACCAGCUCGCCGAGGCCGAGGAGUUCGAGGACAAGAUGAAGGAGCUGGAGAACAUCUGCAACCCCCUCAUUUCCAAGAUGUACCAGGGCGGCCCGGCCGGCAUGGACGAGGACGUGCCCAGUGGCGGCGCCGGCGCCGGCACCGGUGGUGGGAGCGGCGGCGCCGGGCCUAAGAUCGAAGAGGUGGACUAAGCGAGUCGUGACAGACAGGUCUUUCUUCAGCUGGUCGUUGUGCCGCAUUCAGUGUUCUGGUGUCUUACCUGAGUUUAUGCUGUUAUGGUCGAAUAAUGCAAGUGCUUGUGUAGAGGUUCAUUAGGUUUAGUAAGCAAUAUGUACUGGGUUACUAGAAGAAAUAAUUUGUGAAAUCAAUGUGUUCUUGUAAUUCCUUGCCCUAUGCUCUGGAUAAACGGAUACAUUGUUCUUCUCUCUCACUUCAGUACCAUGCUGUCAUUCUCACUUCUAUGGUUGUACCCCGCCAGAAUCGGAAAACUUCAAAAGCAGAGAUGAUGGUUCAUUUUCAGACAGAACUCUGGGGAACCCAUUUCAUUUUCAGAGAAAACUCUAGGAAACGGGAAAUGUUCCAUGUUUGUACUACAACCAUCAAAGUAUCAACAAGGAACAAUUAUUAACUGAGGUACCUUCUACUGAGAGCAGCUGCAUCCCCGGUUCUUCUCCUCCAUCAUUUUUUUCUGUUGAUGAACAGGGUCAGUCCUCCGGCUCCAUUUUAUAAAAGGGAUUCCCUUUAUAAAAUGAAACCAAAAUGGAGCGGAGACUGAACCAGAAGGUUUCAUACUCUACAAUAAAAUUCAGGUAAUAAAAACUACUGACACACCAGUGUUUUAGACGAUGAAGUUCAGGUAAAAAAAACUACUGACAGACCAGUUAAAAACUAAAGACAUAGCGCUCCUACAAAACUCCCAGGCAGCUAUCUUCCGGCAGCUCUUUUUCCGGCACCAGUUUACUUCGUGCACCAAUGUUCUCCAUCAUUCUUCAUGCAUUUAUGAUUUAUCUAUCUUUGCUUAACCUGUCUUCAGCUGCAUCCAGUAUGAGCUCCUCGCCGACGUAAUCAGACAGUCCGUAGAACUAAGCGAACCACAGAUCUCCUUCAGCUUCGUCAAAAUGGAUCCAAGAAACCGCAUUGCCAUUUAGAACAGUGAAUACAGAUGUCAGUUUUUUUUUAUGGAGUGGACUAACGAGGGGCGUGCCCCACGCAAGCGUCGCCAGCGGCGCUUCCCCCCUCGUGCCCCCGCUCGCCUCGAUGCAUGUUCGCGCGCCCGAUCGCGCUCUCGCAGUUCGCCGCGCAGCCCACACAACAAGCCUGCAGCCCAAGCCCCGCAAUGCAAGCCCACUAGCAGCGCAACCCAUUUAGGCUGCAGCGUGAUGUCUAUCUUCCUAGGCUUCCUAGGCUUUGGGCCCAAUUUGCUUUAGCAUUUUUCCCUACUAAAUUGCAUCUAUUUUUCAUGCGUACAAAAUUUAAUUGAAUCUAGUACUGUACUGGGAAUUCAUCGAUAUACACGUCAAUCUCUGUAAAGUAGCAUCACUUUCAGGUAUAUCACGGAGUCAUAUUGUAGGUUUAUCUAUGCAUACUAUCCCCGGGUACCUCCGUAUUUACAAACAUAUCAGUUUCAUCUACAACUACUUGACAAGUUAUCUUCACAUACUUGCCGGUUCAUCAAUACCUAUUUACAAGUUCAUCCACACCUAAUUAUCAGGUUUCUUUCACCUACUUGCCGUUUUAACUGUGCAUACUUGACAGAUUACCUACUCCUACUUGUCAAAUUAUCUUCAUCUACUUGCUGGUUUAAUUGUACCCUAUCUACGUAUACCUGUCAUGUUACCUUCACCAAUUUUCCGGUUUAAUUGUGUCCACUUGCCAGA